AGUCUGAGUCCCCAGUGCCUGGCGUGGGUGAGCUCAGGGCUGCUCCGUAUGGGGGCAUCCAGGCCUGGCUGCUGAUGCCCUGUGGCUGAGGACACCUCCAUCUGCAUGAGCCAGUUUGGAAGUCCAGCUUGCCCCCCAGGCAGUGGAGGAGUCAUUUUGGAUUUGGGCUGACCUGGUAGACUUCUGAAAGACAGUGCUCUGGGUUCAAGUUGUCCUCAGGGCUGGAUGAUCCAUAGCAAAUAUCCCCUGAUGGAUAAGCAUUGUGCUGAGAGACUUGCCUCCAUCAGCUGUGUAAACCUCAGGAUGACCUGCACACAGCUGCCAUGCUGGGAGGAAGCCCAGCAGCCACACAGAGAGGCCACGACAGCCGAGGUCCCAGCCAAGCCAGCAUCAACUGCCCAACACGUCAAUGAGUGAUCCUGCAGAGCCUCCCAUCUCCUAGCCACCGCAGCUGAUGCUCUGAGAGCGGAGGCAAGCUGUCCUUGCUGGGCGCUGCUUAAACUGCAGAUGUAUGAACAAAAUAAAAAUGGUGGUUAUUUUAAGACACUACAUUUUGGGUCUCUAGGUGUUUGGGGGUGGUUUUUCUCUAGCAAUAGGUCCCCAGUCUUGUGCUUUUAGGGUCCUUGUCAAGAAGAAAAGUACAAUGAGGAGGCGAGCCAUGUGCCCCUUAC
rnacentral:lncRNA from 1 species